GGAUCAUCUGAGGUCAGGAGUUUGAGACCAACCUGGCCAAUGUGGUAAAACCCCAUCUCUACUAAAAAUACAAAAAUUAGCCAGACACAGUGGCGUGCAUCUGUAGUCCCACCUACUUGGGAGGCUGAGGCAGAAGAAUCGCUUGAACCUGGGAGGCAGAGGUUGCAGAGAGCAGAUAUCAGGCCACUGCACUCUAGCCUGGGUGACAAAAGGAGACUCUGUAUCAAAUAAUAAUAAUAAUGACAUGGAAGAAUUGUAAAUAAACUUAGCAACCACAGUGGUUACAACUGGCAAUGGAAGAUAAUUCAAUCAGUGAAAAGAAAGCUAAGCAUAGGACUGUAUUCUGUAAUGCAAAAGAAAAGGACAAAGAUUAGCUGGGCAUGGUAGCAAGUGCCUGUGGUCCCAGCUACUUGGGAGGCUGAGGUAGAAGGAUUGUUUGAGCCUGGGAGGCAGAGGUUGCAGUGAGCUGAGUUGUGCCACUGCACACCAGCCUGGGUGACAGAGCAAGAACCUGCCUCACAAAAAAGAAAAAAAAAGGACAAAGAGAUCAAAACUAUCAGAAACAAGGUCUAGACAUAGAAAGACAGGUGAUAGAAAUCUAGUUUUGAAGGAGAGAGAAAAAAAGAACAGAAGAGCUAUUUAAAGAUAUUAGAAAAGAAAAUAUUUUUAAGUUGAAGCAAGACCUGCAUUUGUAGAUCAAAGCUCAUCAUAUGUUAGCCCAAAUUAAUAAAAAACAGACCUAGAUUUAGACAUAUUGUAGUGAAACAGUUAAAUGUUGAAGGGGAAUUUAACAAUAAUGUUAAAAAGCCAAUACAAAGAAAACAUUAUUUUAUUUAAAAACACAUAAAUGGAAAAAUGUGGUCUGUCCUUGAUUAGGAAGAGUUUUGAUAUUGCAAAGAUACUGAUUUCCCUCAAACUAACUGAUAAGGUUAAUGUCAUCCCUAGUAAAAUGCCAGCGGCAUUAUUUUUAAAACUGUCUCAAACUGUUUCUGAAAUUAUUCUGGAGUAAUAAAAGAUAUUGAUGGGGAGACACUGAAUACAGGGAAGGAACAAAUGAGAGUAAGGAAAUAUAGUUAGCUAUAAACUAUUUUGUAAGAAGAAGAAGAAAGUUUGGAUGGAGUUGAAUGAGUUUUUAAACAUGAAAACAACAAGUAAGCAAUUGAUAACUGAUAGGAAAAGACUAAAAAUUUAGGUCAGGAUUCCAGAGGACAUGAGGAAAUAUGAGAAGGUCACAAACACUCUCAGAUAGAAGGGAGAAUAUUCUAUCCAAAGAGUCUGAAAUCAUCAAGAAACAGUAAUAUUAAAAUAGUAAUUAUAAUAGCUAACAUAUUGACCAUUGCGUGGACAGCUGGAGAAACGAUGGUUAACAAGACAAACACUCCGGGGUCUUUCGGAGCUUCAGGUCUGGGGGAGGCAGAAAAAAGAUGAGGAAACAAACACAAUCAUUGCAAAUGAUAAAAAGGUAUGAAGGAAAUAAACAGGUAAUAAGAAUAGUGGCGGGAAGUGGGAAUGACACUACUGAAGGAAGUCCAGAAGGGCUUCUCUGAAGAUAUUUAAGCCAAGACCUAGGAGAUGAGAGGUGGAAUGGAUCAAAAAGCAGGGAGGAGGGUCAUUAGGUAGAGAGCCUGGCCAGAGGUGGAAACGUGCUGAGAUCAGUUCAGUCAGGUGCAUUGAGGUCUUCGAGGAGGGAGGGAGAGGAUAAGCCAUGCAGGACCUUGGAAGCUACUAUAAGGAUCUUGGAUUUUACCCUAGGUGCAAUGAGAAGCCACUGGAGGCAUGAUACAACCUGAUUUGCAUUUUUAAACAUUCUGGGCCACUGUGUAGAAAAUGGAUUGACGGGGCCAGAGGGGAGCAGGAACUGUCAGGAGGUUCUUCCAGAGUCUCAAUAAAGGGUGGCAUUGCCCUAAACUAGGGUGGUGAGCAUGGAGAAAAGAGCUACAGGGAAACUCUGGAGAUCCAGUCUGUGGGACUUGCCGACGGGUUGUUUAAGGAAGUGAGGGAAGACAGAAUGAUCCACACAUUUCUGGCUUGGAACCUAGAAGUGGAAACUCUCCACUGGAUAACAAGAUGUGGAUAGAGGGUGAUGGGAUAUGGGCAGAUAAAACGGUAAUGAGGCUUGUGGGGUAGGGCCAGGCCUACUGCCCUAGGAAAUUAGGAGACCUCAUACACUCUGAGUCAGAAGCCAAGUGAAAGCCACAUUAAGGAAGUUGUUCUACAACAUGUGUGCUGGCUAAAAUAGAAGGAGUCAAGUGGGAAGCCAAUAAAUGAGGACCUGGGCUUAAUUCAGGGCAGCAAGAAUGGCAAGGAAGGAACUAGGAAAUCAUUUGAAGAAAAAUUUGGCAGCAUAUUGGGCUGGGCAUGGUGUAGUCCUAGCACUUGGGAGGCCGAGGCAGGCAGAUUGCCUGAGCUCAGAAGUUCAAGACCAACCUGGGCAACACGCUGAAACCCCAUCUCUACUAGAAUACAAAAAAUUAGCCAGCAUGGCAGCGUGCGCCUAUAGUCCCAGCUACUUGGGGGAGGCUGAGGCAGGAGAAUUGCUUGAACCCGGGAAGCAGAGUUUGCAGUGAGCCGAGAUUGUGCCACUACACUCCAGCCUGGGCAACAAAGUGAGACUGUCUCAAAAAAAAAAAAAAUUAGCUGGGCUUGAUGGCGUGCACCUGUGGUGUCAGCUUCUCGGGAGGCUAAGGUGAGAGGACUGCUUGAGCCCAGGAAGUGGAAGCUGCAGUGACCAGGGAUUGCACCACUAUACUCUGGGUGGCAGAGUGAGACUGUCGGAAAAAAAAAAAAAAAAAAGCAGUGUAUGGAAGUAAAGAAGAGACAAUCAAAGGUGACAAUGGGAGAGGAAUGGUGCUAAUGUCUGACGGCAGGUGGAGAAGGAGGCUGGUUCUGAGAAUGUUUCAGAGUGAGGACAGGGCUCCCAGAUGGAAAUGUCUGGCAGGCAACUGAAGUUACAGAACCAGAACUAAGAUCUGAGGUCCAGACUGGCUGGCAAAUGGGCCACAUCCUAGAAAAUGGAGGGUAAUUCAAUCUUUCACACACGGAAUCAGAAUCUUCUAAAAAAUUAGAAUACACACUUAAAAUUCAAACUGCAUUUGCUGGUCACACCACUCUACGUAAUUCAUUUUUCUUUGAAAAUUCCGAAGCUUCCUUGGGUUCUUGUGCUUCAGGGUCACGAUCAGGAACAUGAAUUAUGGUUGGUAUGAGACAACUUUAUCUGAAACAGAACUACCAUGGUUUGGGAGCAAAUGUUCUCUUUGAGCCUCGGUGUAGGAAACAGACAAAGAUGCUGAUCUCCUGCAUAGAAGGUUUCUAUUCUCACACUUCUCAAAACUGACACAGAUCACUAUUUUUCAGCGUUAGCCCAGCUGACUUGCAUUUUGUUUCCUGCUCUCGCUUCCACGUGUACCUUGUGAGCCAUAUGUUAGGCAGUUAAUAACGUAGUUUCAGGAACAAUACACCUGGCUUCCUCUGCUCACAGCACAGUGGAAACUUGGCUCCACCCAUGCGGGAAUCUCCCUGUUUUCUCCUCGGUUCGCCUCCCUUGCUGACAAUCUCUUUCUCCCUCUCCUUGGCAUCCAUUUCUCAUCUUCCUACCCUUUCGUGUUUUCUUCUCUUCCUGCUUCACCGGCUUCUUUCUUUUCCUUCUGGCUGGCGUGUCUCCCUCUUCAAGCUGCCUGCUUCAUC
rnacentral:lncRNA from 1 species